GCGAAGGUGGCGGAAUUGGUAGAUGCGCUAGCUUCAGGUGUUAGUGUCCUUACGGACGUGGGGGUUCAAGUCCCCCCCCUCGCACCA
rnacentral:tRNA from 3 species